GACAGAGGAUGCAAGCGUUAUCCGGAAUGAUUGGGCGUAAAGCGUCUGUAGGUGGCUUUUUAAGUCCGCCGUCAAAUCCCAGAGCUCAACCCUGGACAGGCGGUGGAAACUACCAAGCUGGAGUACGGUAGGGGCAGAGGGAAUUUCCGGUGGAGCGGUGAAAUGCGUAGAGAUCGGAAGGAACACCAGUGGCGAAAGCGGCUUCCUGGUCCGACACCGACGUCAGGCACGAAAGCGUGGGGAGCAAACAGG
rnacentral:rRNA from 1 species